rnacentral:rRNA from 1 species
CCCUUGGAUGUUCUGGGCCGCACACGCGCUACACUGAAGGAGGCAGCGUGUACUCCUGGAUCGAAAGAUUUGGGUAACCCGCGAAUCUCCUUCGUGCUAGGGAUUGAGGUUUGCAAUUAUCCUUCAUGAACGAGGAAUUCCCAGUAAGUGCAAGUCAUAAGCUUGCGCUGACUACGUCCCUGCCCUUUGUACACACCGCCCGUCGCUACUACCGAUUGAAUGAUUUAGUGAGGACUUCGGACUGGGACCGAUGCGGCUUUCGGGCUGCGUCGGUAUUCUGGAAAGAUGUCCAAACUGUAUCAUUUAGAGGAAGUAAAAGUCGUAACA